CAAUAGCUAAAUAAGGGCGUAUGGGGAAUGCCUAGGCUCUCAGAGGCGAUGAAGGACGUGAUAAGCUGCGAAAAGCUGCGGGGAUUGGCACAUACAAAUUGAUCCGCAGAUAUCCGAAUGGGGCAACCCACUAUACUGAAGGUAUAGUAUCCGCAAGGAGGCAAACCC
rnacentral:rRNA from 1 species